rnacentral:rRNA from 1 species
UACAGGGGGUGCAAACGUUGCUCGGAAUCAUUGGGCGUAAAGCGCACGUAGGCGGUCUGUUAUGUCGGAUGUGAAAGCCCUUGGCUUAACUGAGGAAGUGCAUCCGAAACUGGCAGGCUAGAGUACUAAAGAGGGUCGCGGAAUUCCCGGUGUAGAGGUGAAAUUCGUAGAUAUCGGGAGGAACACCGGUGGCGAAGGCAGGUCUCUGGGCCACUACUGACGCUGAGAAGCGAAAGCGUGGGGAGCGAACAGG